rnacentral:lncRNA from 1 species
AACUGACUGUCUACUGCUGCUGCUGCUGCUCCGGAAAUCCUCCGGCUGCAACUCCCACAACAUACUCAAUCAAUCACUGCUAACUGUCCUUUGGGUAAAAUGACCAUUUUACCCCUGAUCAUGUCAUAAGUCAAAGUCAGAGUCAACUUUCAGUUGACCCGACUCGCCGAGUUGGCUCUCCAACUCGCCGAGUCCCUAUCCAAUCGAUUGUCCUGGAUCCCGUCCCUACUCGUCGAGUUAGGCGUUGACUCGACGAGUUCUUCUUCUAAACUGAGGUUCAAGUCCUUCAUCCUACUCGCCGAGUUGUAUGAACAACUCGCCGAGUUCAUCUUCAUCCGAAGAACACUUUAUGCUGUGACUCGCCGAGUUGUAUGAACAACUCGCCGAGUCUGUUCUUGAUCUAAGGAGAUUGCCUUGAACUCGCCGAGUCAGGGCAUGGACUCGCCGAGUUCCUCCAUGGAUGAGUUUGGCUUCCAACUCACUGAGUCACACCCCGUGACUCACUACUCGCACUCGACACAACGAAAAGGGGACAACUCGGAGACUCGCGAGCAGACUCGCCGAGUCGUCGCCAUGCAAUCACUAUAUACGCGAUUUUGCUCGAUUCCAGUCUAUGCCAUUCACAGAUCUGGGUUCCUAGAACAUGAAUGACACGUAAAGUUUCCAACUUUACGUGUAGAUACUCACCAAUGAGGGAUUUAGAGCUCAAAAUGCCUCAAAAGCGUAGAUCUAGGGUGAACAAGCAACAUGGGUCCAUAAAGGUAACGGAUCUGAGCUCCUGGAGCUCAAUCUUGCCUAGAUCUAAAGGCCAAUCAACUUAUUACGACUUAUAUUGCACAUACAAGCUUGGGGAAGGGCUCAAGAAAGACUUAAUGGAGCAAUAAGCAUAAAAACAGAGGGAAAACGGGUUAUACCUCAAAGAAAUCACUGAGAGGACACUAAGAUGCUUGGCUUCCUUCCCUUCCUCUUGAUCUACUCCACUUCCUUCUCAAAUCCUUCAAGAAUACACAAGAAUGCUUCAAACUCUCAAGGAAAUAAGCUUUGGAACGAGGGUUGGGAGCUCUGAGGUGAAUCUGGGCUGGUUUGGGGCGGACAUGAGGUUUAAAUAGGGUGCAAACCCCUGAAACUUAGGGUUUCAUCCAACAGCGGUGACUCGCCGAGUCGCCAACUUAAACAUGUCCCGGGUCCCGUAUCUACUCGCCGAGUCUUAGGCUAAAAAAAAGGAUAAUACUCAAGUGAGAUUUACGUACCAGGAACCAGGUGCUACAAAUCUCCCCCACUUAUUUUAGACUGCGUCCUCGAAGUCUGCUGCUCGAUCCUGGAACAGCUCAGGAUAAUGCUCCAUCAUCUCCUCCACCGGCUCCCAAGUCCACUUCGAACCCUUGCGGUGCUGCCAUUGCACCUUUACUAGCUGGACCUUCAUGUUCCUCAAAUCCUUCGACUUCCUGUUGAGGAUUGUGACUGGGCGCUCAAUCUAAUUCAGGCUGUCAUCAACUUGAAUAUCCUUUAACGGCACUACCGCUGAAUCGUCCACUAGACACUUCCGCAGCUGAGAAACAUGGAAAGUGCUGUGGAUCUGGCUGAGCUCGGCUGGCAGAUCCAGCUAUACGCCACCUUGCCCACCCGGGCUACAACCCUAAACGGUCCGAUGAAUCUUGGGCCCAACUUACCCCGAUUCCUGAAUCGAAUGACGCCUUUCCAAGGCGACACCUUCAGGAGAACCAUAUCCCCGACUUGGAACUCCAAGUCGGAUCAACGCUUGUCGGCGUAACUCUUCUGUCGACUCUGACCAGUCUGAAGCCUGCUCUAAACCUGCUGGAUCCUCUCGGUCAUCUUGAGCACCACUUCGGUGCUCCCCAUGACUCUCUGGCCAACUUCACCCCAGCAUAUCGGGGUCCUGCAUCUCCGUCCGUACAACAUCUCGAAAGGAGGGCGGUUGAUACUCGCGUGGUAGCUGUUGUUGUACGAGAACUCAGCCAAGGGAAGAUAGGUAUCCCAUCUACCAUUGAAGUCUAACACGCACGCCCGCAACAUAUCCUCCAAGGUCUGGAUGGUCCGCUCGCUCUGACCAUCCGUCUGCGGGUGAAAGACGGUGCUAAAAUGCAAACGAGUGCCCAACUCGUCAUGAAAUCUCUUCCAAAAUCUGGAAGUAAAACGCACAUCCCUGUCCGAAAUAACCGAUACUGGCACCCCGUUCCGCGCCACGAUCUCUCUGAUAUAGAUGUCGGCCAAUUUCUCGGCCGAUAUGCUCUCCUGAAUCGGGAUAAAGUGAGCACUCUUGGUCAGUCGAUCCACGAUGACUCAAAUCGAAUCCACUCCAUGCGCGGUCCUGGGAAGCUUCGUGAUAAAAUCCAUCAUGAUAUCAUCCCAUUUCCACAGUGAAAUAUCCAACGGCCGCAUCUUGCCAUGCGGUCUCUGAUGUUUGGCCUUGACCUUCCUGCAGGUCAAGCACCGCUCGACGUACCAUGCCACAUCCCGCUUCAUGCAGGGCCACCAAUAGUCUAGACGAAGAUCCCUAUACAUCUUCGUCGCCCCGGGAUGAAUAGAGAAUCGGGACUUGUGCGCCUCCUCCAUCAAAAUCUGGCGCACGCCCCCGUGAUACGGCACCCACACCCUAUGGUGUAGUGUCAAUAACCCUCGGCUAUCAUAAUCGAAGGAGGAAACCUGACCUACUACGCGCUCGUUCUUCCGAUGCUCCUCCUUGAUAGCCUCCUGUUGAGCUUCCCGAAUCUGCUCCAACAGGGGAGUCACCACAGUCAUCCUCAAACAGGCGUCCCUGAUCGGCGCCGCCUUGCGGCUAAGCGCAUCGGCCACCACAUUGGCCUUCCCCGGGUGGUAAAGGAUCUCGCAAUCAUAAUCCUUCACCACAUCCAACCACCGACGCUGCCUCAUGUUCAGAUUCGGCUGAUCCAUGAGGUACCUCAAGCUCUUGUGGUCCGUGUAGAUGGUACACCGAACCCCAUAGAGGUAAUGUCGCCAAAUCUUGAGGGCAAAUACCACCGCCCCCAACUCCAAAUCGUGCGUCGGGUAGUUCGCCUCGUGAGGCUUGAGCUGCCUCGAAGCGUAAGCAAUGACAUGCCCCCUUUGCAUCAGCACCGCGCCCAACCCAGAAAUGGACGCAUCGCAAUAAACCACGAAAUCCUCUACGCCCUCUGGCAGGGCUAAGAUCGGCGCCUCACACAAUCUCUGUCUCAGCGUCUCAAAUGCAGCCUGCUGCUCGGGUCCCCACCGAAAGACCACGGCUUUCUUCGUCAGCCGCGUCAGGGGCACGGCUAUCUUGGAGAAAUCCUGGAUAAAUCUCCGAUAGUAGCCUGCCAAUCCCAGGAAACUCCGAAUCUCAGAUGGAGACUUCGGAACCUCCCAUCUCAUCACGGCCUCGACCUUGGCCGGAUCGACCAGAAUCCCGUUCUGGUUGACGAGGUGUCCAAGAAAUUGCACCUCGCGCAACCAAAACUCACACUUGGAGAACUUGGCAUACAAGCUCUCCCUCCUCAGGGUCUCCAACACCUCUCUCAGAUGCUCCUCAUGUUCCUCCCGAGUCUUGGAAUAAACCAAGAUAUCAUCGAUAAAGACUAUCACAGACCGAUCCAGCAUCGGUCUGCAUACGCGGUUCAUGAGGUCCAUGAACGCGGCAGGAGCAUUGGUGAGCCCAAACGGCAUCACCACGAACUCAUAAUGGCCAUAGCGCGUCCGAAACGCGGUCUUCUGCAUAUCCUCCUCCCUGACCCUCAUCUGAUGAUAACCCGAACGCAAAUCAAUCUUGGAGAACCAAGAUGCUCCCUGAAGCUGGUCAAAGAGGUCAUCAAUCCUCGGAAGCGGGUAACGGUUCUUCACCGUUACCUUGUUCAGCUCCCGAUAAUCUAUACACAUCCGAUGCGACCCGUCCUUCUUCUUCACAAACAGAAUCGGGGCUCCCCAGGGUGAACUGCUCGGACGAAUAAAUCCCUUGUCUAGCAGCUCCUGCAGCUGCGUAGACAACUCCUGCAUCUCGGGAGGAGCCAACCGAUACGGUGCCUUGGCUAUCGGAGCCGCACCAGGAACAAGGUCAAUCCUGAACUCCACCUGUCGCUCCGGAGGUAUCCCAGGAAGCUCCUCUGGGAAAACAUCUGCAAAGUCUCGGACCACCGGAACCUCGCUCACUGUCGCCUUACCCGCCUCCCGGGUAUCCAUCACAUACGCGACAUAUCCUGCGCAUCCCUGCUGAAGGUAGCGCCUAGCCCUCGCUGCUGAACAUACAGCGGGUCCAUACUGAGGCCUCUCACCAUGAAUCACUAACUCUCCCCCGCUUGGGGUCCUGACCCGCACUAGCUGCUGCGCGCAAUCUAUCACCGCCCCAUUAGGGCUCAACCAAUCCAUGCCUAUAAUCACCUUGUUCCCACGCAACGGAAUGGGAACCAAAUCUACCAAAUAGCGCUCCUCAAACAAACGCAGCACGCAAUCUCGAAAUACCAUCGAUGCUCGCACCGAUCGAUCAUCAGCAAUCUCCACCUCCAAAGGGCAAUCUAACUCGCCUGAUGGCUCAUGAAACUUCUUGCUAAGCGCAAGGGAAACGAAUGAUCGGGAUGCACCCGAAUCAAAUAACACCUGAACUGGGAGGCCGUUCACAUGGAACGAUCCUAAUGCAUACAUAUACAUACAGAGCACAUAUCAAUAACAUAACAUCAUAAAAAUAAGAUAGAGGGAAAGAAUCAUACCCGUCACCACAUCGGGUGCGGCGCGUGCCUCCUCGGUAGUCAGCUGAAAUGCUCGGCUCCUCACCACUGGAGCCUCUGCCUUGCCCUGCCGGCCAUCCGUGAUCCGCAGGGUCGCUGGAGCUGGCGCCUUCACCGGCGCUGAAACUGUCAACUGGGGGCAAUUGGCCUUCUUGUGGCCCCUCUGGUUGCAGUGGAAACACAGCAACUCUGAUGUCUGAAUAACUGCUGCCGGAGCAGUGCAAUCCCUGCUGAUGUGCCCAGACUUGCCGCACUUGUAGCAGCCUGAUGAUCCCAUCCUGCACGCCCCCUCGUGCGGCCUGCCGCAUUUCCUGCAGCGGCUCGGUCCUGACUGGCCUUUCGGCCUACCAUCUGAUCCCUUGGGCUUCUUCCCCGAAGCCCCUCCUGCCUGUCCCUCCUCUAAUUUCCGUUUCCGGAUGUGCUCCAAAUCUAUCUCCCUCUCCCUCGCCCUGGCAAUCAUAGAGUCCAAGGUAGGGCAAGCCGAAAAGCUAACAUGCUCCCGGAUGUCAGCUCGUAGCAUAUCAUGAUAACGAGUCCUCCUCAUGUCCUCGUCACCAGCAUACUGGGGCACCAACAAAGCCCUCUCCCGGAACUUGGCGGUGAUCUCCGCCACAGUCUCCGUCGUCUGCCUCAUGUCUAGAAACUCCCUGGCCAGCUGCUGAAGCUCGACCGCCGGCGCAAACUCUGCCCUGAACCUGGUCACAAAGUCCGACCAGGUCAUAGCCUCGAUAGCUGAGGCUCCCAACGAGUCACCCACUGACUCCCACCAAUCCCGGGCUCGGUCCCGUAAACAUCCUGCUGCAUACCUCACCUUCGACCCCUCGGGGCAGAAGCUAGUCAACUGGGCAGACUCGAUGUCUGCAAUCCAUCGCCUGGCAGCAAUGGGGUCUUUCACCCCAUGGAAAUCCGGCGCACCACUGCCCCUGAAGUCCUUGAAGGACAGUGUGCGAGAUCCUGACUGGCUAGAUGCCAUAUCACUCCUGAAUGCCCGAAGGCGAUCCUCCAUCAACUCCAUGAUCCCUUCCUUGAUCGACCCAAAGAGGAUGGGGGUCGACUCAAGGAUACCUCUGGUGAUCUCUGACGCGAUGAACUCGCGUAGUCCCUCAUCAACCGGCUCGGAACCUGAUCCCGAACCUGACCCCUCUCCUGAACCGCCAUCUACCGGCCUCGAUCGAAGUACCACCAUUCUGCAAUACAUCACAACAAUCAUUAGUGAUACUGAUACUUCCUGAGGGAUCACAACUACUUACAAGUUCCCUGGUCUUAUCUUGGCCUUCCUUGGUUCGGGUACGGAUCCUCUGCUUUCAGUAGUACGGGCCCAUACUACCUUCCACAUCUAUCCGUACCUUCUUCAAGGAAUGCCUCGACUCCACCAGAUCCCUUUCACUACUGCUGAUCACUGCUAUACUCAUCCUAGGCUUGCCCUAGGGAAAUCUCUAAUUCUACUCUAACCAGUCCUCAGCUGCUGCAGGCCUCCUUGUAAUGCCAAUUAGCCAUUACCCGAAUACCAUCACAUGUGACGAGGCUCAGAUAAUCCUUCGAGUACCCGACUCGUCCCUACAACGGUUGGACUCAAACAAGAGCUGCGCAGUAGGAUCAAAUCCGGCACUCUAAGAUUAUUCAACCCUGAUCACAUGUGACGUGACGUAUUCGCCUAAUGGCUAACUCCCAUUAUUCAGAGUCCCACAUAGCACGAAGCAAGCAGCAUUCAGACAAGGGUAACAAUCUCAAUCAACUCUAUCUGCUUACAGGAACUGUACUAGCAUAAAGUGCUAAGCUCAUACUAUCAGGCAUAACCUAAUCAGGCUAUCCUACUUGCUGUCUACUCAAUAACUAGCAUGCAAUUCUCAUACAACUGAAACACAUAAAGCAGGCACAUAAGGCAUCACUCCUAGAUCCUUAGUCCUAUUCUAGCAUGCUGUUCUACAAAAGCUGAUAAACAUAACAUAAACUCGUAUGGGUACUUUGGGGAAUACUUACUUGAGCUCGGCCGGUCGCGCACAUCACACACUUCGUUCUUUCUCGAAACUCUUUUCUCAAUUUUUAGAAAACAUUUUCUUUUAGAAAAUCUUUUAAUCCCUCGAUUUGAGUUCAGACACCCCCGAAGGUGUGUCCGAAUCCCUCAAACCAGGGCUCUGAUACCAACUUGUAACGACCCAAUUUUCACGUCCAAAAAUUUCGUUAUAAAACAUUACAUGAAAGCAUUAAUAGUUAAAACAUUGUUUGAUUAAACCAUUUCACAUCGAAAACCAAAUUGAAAACCACAACAUUCGAUCAAUCAAAUAUCAGAGUAUCAAUCCCAGAAUAAACUCGUAACUGCGGAAACAAGAGAGUGUGUGUGUGUGACAUGCUGCUACCGCGCCGGCUCCUUUCCCCUAGCUGAGGAGGUACCUGAAACCAAAACUGAAAACCGUAAGCACGAAGCUUAGUGAGUUCCCCCACUGUACCACAUACCAUAUAAUCACAUAACAUACAUAUAUUGUCAGGCAUAUCUGGGUGCCCGACCUACCCCUUCGGCCCUCUCGACCGGAUAUUGCCUAGCAUAUCUGGGUGCUGGCCUCCCCUUCGGUCCUCUCGACCGGAUAUUGCCUAGCAUAUCUGGGUGCUGGCCUCCCCUUCGAUCCUCUCGACCAGAUACUGGGGAACUAUUCCUCCCCUCUACCACUACCACAUAACAUGUAUCACAAUAUCAGAAUCUAUCUAACAUGGCUGAGUAUGACUACCCCUUCGGCCCUACCGACCGGAUAUCUCGGGGACUAUCUCCCCCUACUGUCACUAGCACAUAGCAUCAUAUCAUACUAGCACAUAAACAUAACACAGGUAGUAGUAAUCCCUAGAUGAAUAUCACAAAGACAAUCAUCAACAUACAACUCCUACUGGUGGGCCGGCAUUGUGGCCGUAGACCCACCGCUACUGGAAGGUAACUCACCUCGAAGUAGCUGCUGAUCUGAUCGGGAACUGACUGUCUACUGCUGCUGCUGCUGCUCCGGAAAUCCUCCGGCUGCAACUCCCACAACAUACUCAAUCAAUCACUGCUAACUGACCUUUGGGUAAAAUGACCAUUUUACCCCUGAUCAUGUCAUAAGUCAAAGUCAGAGUCAACUUUCAGUUGACCCGACUCGCCGAGUUGGCUCUCCAACUCGCCGAGUCCCUAUCCAAUCGAUUGUCCUGGAUCCCGUCCCUAC